rnacentral:misc_RNA from 1 species
AACCAUUCUCACCUGCGGCUAGACCUGCGGAAGGAUCAUUACCGAGUGUGAACCCCCCCGUAAAAAAGAGGGGUUACCUCCCGUCCUUUGCUGGGAACCCCUUUCCAACUUGGAAGGAGGUUGUUUUCAGACCCUUCUGCUUCGGUGGGGUAACCCACCGGAACAACCUCAAAAAUAUUCUCAAUUCAAAACCGUUCAGUCCGAGAACUUUUUUGAAAAGCGAAAAAACUUUCAGCAACG